ACCACUAUAUCUAGUAACUAAAAUGAUUAUUUUAACAUUUUAAAGGUCUCCAUAUUGAAAUCUUUGUUUGGAGGGAAUAUAUAAUGUGUAUUCAACCUUAUUUUAUUUUAAGGUUUUACUUUAGAAGCCAAAAGGAUUUGAUAGCAAUAACGAAUAUUUUUGUAUAUUUUCCACUUGGAAUAAUAUUGAGUGGGGUGACAUGAAGAAUUAUAUAGAAAAUAGUGAGAGUAAUGGAGUGACUUUGAUUUUUAUACUCUAUAUGUGACUAGAUCUUUUUACUUGCACUCCGAAAGUAUAUAUUUUUCUUAAUUGAAGGAAUAUAUAGAUAAUAAAUAAAGUUUGAAUUUUUUUUUUAAAUAAAGUCAAAAUAUCUCCACAUAAGACUAAAUCACAUUUGCACACUGACUUGAUUCCUAACAUGCUUGAAGAGGCAAAAUAAUGACUUUUUCCUUGAUAUGCUUGUAGAUUCUACAAAAGUUGUUAUAUUUUCAAAAAUAGAUUUGGUUUGAAUUUAUUUAUUAAUUUAAUCAUAUUUUUAUUCUAUGCAAUUUUUGUUUUUUAUUCUUUUAUUCCCUGUAGCUAGUCAACUAAAAAUGGAAUUAAAUGUCAACCUCAAACCCUGAUUUUCUUGAUAUUGUUUUUGUCUUACGAAUCACUGUCCUUUAGUUGUUUCCAACUACUAGAAAAUCUAAAUUUUAAAUUGUUUUCUUCUAUAAAUAAAUAAUUUGAAACAAAAAUUAAAGAAUUAAUAGUUUGUAUAAAAAAAUUAAAAGAUUAGUGCUAAAACAAAAGUAAUUAUUUCCAAAUUUUUUCUCUAUCUUAUCAUACCAAAUACACGUGUGAAGAUUUUAUGUUGUUAUUUUUUUUAAGUUAUCGUCUUCAAUCAUUCAACUUUUUCCUUUGCUUUUUCUUAUAUUCCUUUUGAGCUAAUCAUAAUAUUUGGUUUCUGCUUAAUGAGGUAUAAAUUAAAUUUGUUAUAUGAUUGCGUAAAGUACAAGGACCCAUUUGAGUUAAGUCACACUUGUAAUGUGAUUCCACAAAACUAGAAGUAAUUAAUCACUUAUAAGUGGAAUUCUGUUUGGCUUGCACAGGAACUCCAUCAUCAUGCAUUUCUAUUUUACCAAAUAUUCUAACUAUCAAAUCUAAAAAAGCAUCCCAUUUUCUUUGUGGGACUCAUUCAAUGAUAUUUUAUCAUGUAUUACACUUUAGAUUUUAGUUUAGUAUAUUUUAAAUUACAUCUUAAUUUUAUUAGUUUUUAAUGUAGUGUUUGUAAAAUUGUGAUGUGAUGUUAAUCAUGUUUGCUAUAUUAUUUUUAAUUAAAAUAAUCAUACUAUUUUUUAUUCGUUUUUAACAUAUUUUCAAACAAUAAUCUUUUAUGAUUAUUUUUUUGAGUUAUAAUUUGUCAUAUCACUGUUUUGAAUAGCUUUUUUUUUUUUAAAAAUCGAUACAAUAAAAUAGAGAAUUUUUUUUAUAUAAAUUUUUUAUAAAUGAUUGAAUAUAAACAACAAUUUUUUUUAGAAUCAAUAACAUAUUCUCUUUAAUUUAUAAUUAGAGUAAUUAAUAAAAUUUUCUAUUUAAUAAAUGCAGGUAGGGAAUGAGCUUGGAGCAGGUAAACCAUAUAAAGCAAAGCUAGCAGCCAUGGUUGCAUUAGGAUGUGCAUUUGUGAUGGGCUUCAUCAAUGUAACAUGGACCGUCGUCCUUCGAUACGGUUGGGCCAGACUUUUCACAACCGAUGAACCCGUCAAAGCCUUGGUUGCAUCCGUCAUGCCAAUAAUGGGCCUAUGCGAGCUCGCAAACUGCCCACAAACCACCGGUUGUGGCAUCCUCCGAGGCACUGCCCGACCCGUCAUAGGCGUGAACAUCAACCUAGGAGCAUUCUACUUUGUCGGUACCCCGGUGGCGGUAGGGUUGGCAUUUUGGUUCAGGAUUGGGUUUAGUGGGCUUUGGUUUGGGCUUUUAUCAGCCCAAGUGGCAUGUGCUUUAUCAAUUCUAUAUGUUGUGAUUGUACGUACGGAUUGGGAAGCUGAGGCAUUGAAGGCAGAGAAACUAACAAAGGUUGAGAUGGUAACUUAUAAUGGAAGUAAGAAUAAAGACGUAGUAACAAAAGAGGAAGAAUGCAAGGGUUUGUUGGAAAAUGUAAAUGGGAACAAAAUUGACAUUUGCUAAAAAGACAUCACAACCUAGAAUAGAAUGAUAUCUAUUAUGAGAUUUGGAUUUUGUUUGUUGGUGAUAAAGAUCAUAUACUGUCACCUAGUAUAUUGGAUAGUGAGGUUUAUGAGUGGUGCGUGCAUCUAUGUUAUGGGUUGGUUACUUUUGAAGAGUAUAUGUUGUUUUCUUUAAUCUAUCGUAUUUUCUUUUCAUUUUUUGAAAAGUUCUCAUGAGGAACAAUGUCUCACUUUAUGUACUAACAUGGUUUCAAUUAUCGCAUGAAUUUUUUUGGACGAGAUUUGGACACUUCAUAUAAUACUUACCCUAUUCAUUCUGAAGUGUCGUUCACGGUUUUUAAGGAAAUAAUUAGACGUGUUGGUUUUGAUCAUAAAACUAUUAACAUUUUUUAGAAUAUUUCUAUUAAUUUUAAUUAAAAAAGUGGUUGGAUAAAGUGAAAGUUAAUAAAAGGAAUAUGAUAUGAAAAAAUAAUAAUAAAUAUUAUAUUGAUAUGGUAAAAGAGGUGAAAAUAAGACAUUUUUUACGAGAAGGAGGGAGUGAUCAUUAUUAUUGCUUUUCAGAUAAUUCUUUUAUCUAUAAUACUCUUAAUUAUUUAUUAGAUUUAUUUUACUCUUUUUUUUUGUAAUAAUUAUUUAGGAUAAUUUUGACAAAAAUAUAAUUAAUACUAUUUUGAACUUUGGAAGUGAUAAUUAAAAAAAAAUAUUUUUCUUCAAGAAAAUGAUACUUAAAAAGAAACGGAAAGAAUAGAUAUUCAAUAUUUUUAUUUAAUUUUAAUUUUUUUCAAUUUAGUCUAGUAAUAGAUAUUGAAAGUUGGGAUACACCCCCUCCCCUCCCAUCCCAUGACUGUAACUAUUAUAAAUAUUUUUUUUAAUAUAUUUGAUAAUUAAUAUAUAUAAUUUAUAUAUGAAUUAGAUAGAUUAACUAUCCAAUGAAUUAAAAAAGUCAAAUUUACUUAUAAUAAUAAUUAGAGGAUAUAUGAUUAAGAUAUUUAAAAAUUUUAAAUUUUAUUAAUAACUUUUUUUAGAAACAAAUUUGUUUUGUUGACGUGAAAAUUGUAUCUAAAUGAAAGAUUUUUUCAUUUGUCAAUAACGAAUUUUAUUUUAAAAAAUUGACUUUUAAAAAAAAACAAAGUUAAAAGAAAGAAAAUGAGAGUAAGGAUUAAUCUCUCCUGUUUGAAAAAUUGUUCAUUGAAUUUUUAUAAAAACAAAUUGGGUGAUUCAUACCGGUUCUCAUCGAUUUGAUUGCAUGGCGGAUUUAAUAGUCGGUUUGGAUCGGUUACUCUUUCCUUACUUCGACUGAAUCAACAAUCGGUUGAUUAGAGGUUAAUUAAAUAAAAAAUUUGAAUGAGUUAUUCAUAAGUUCUCGGAUCGAUCGAUUCAACGGAUGCGAGCCGAUAUUUAAAACUCUAUAUUUCUAAUUAUUGAAUAUCUAUUCUUUGUAAUUUAUCUUUUAAUUUUAAUCAUUUUAUUUCUAUUUAUAUAAAUAAAAAAUUGAUUAUAUAUAUAUUUUUUAUUUCAUUUUUUUCAAAUUAUUAAUUUAUAAAUUUUAAUAAAUAUUUUUAUAUUAAUACAUUAAUACAAAUAAAUAGUCUCUUAAAUCAAUAAUCUAUAUUUAUUUAAUUCAAUUAUCAUAUGUGUUACUUAUCAUGUUUUGUCAUAUUUCCAUUAACUAGUAUCAAAUAUAAACCAUGAUUUAGUUUAUCAAUAUAAAGUCAUACUAGUAAUAUUUUGGGAAGAUGAGAAAUAUUUGUGGCGUGAAAAAGUAGCUUAUAUUAUGUGUUGUGUGACAAUUGCAUGAAGAUAUAGGUGAAAUGUGAAAAUCUGCGUUCUGACAUUUGAUAAUUUUGAGAUAUACGGCUGAGACGUAGAGAUCAAACAGAAGACAGCUUUUAUGCUAAAGCUGUUCUACAAAAGCAGGACUUAAUUAUAAUGCCAGCGGCGUAACAAUUCGUAGAUCAGAGUAGGGAGGGUGGCUCAUGCAGCCUUACAUAUUGUUCACUCCUUUUUAAGAUACUAGUAUCUGAUAUGAUUGCUGUUGUUUCACUAUUUUUAUAUAUAGAUACAAUAUAAAAAUAAUAAUUUAAUAAAAAUAAAGUUAUAUCUAUAUUAUAUACAUAAACCUUGUUAGACUAAUUUAUAUAUUUUAAAAAAUAUUGAUUUAUAAAAUUAAUAAUUUAUUUAUAUUGUAAUAUUUUUUAUAUUUUAAAAUGUCUUGUCAUUUAAAUUUUUUAGAUAGAUUAAAAAUUGAAUAAUAUUAUCCUAAGACAUUAUAAUUUUAUUAAAAUAUUAAAAAUAAUAUAAAGAAUAAUAAUUAAAGAUGCAAUUGAAAAAAUUAUACACGCCUUAUCAUUAUUAUAAACCAGAAUUUUUUUUUAGAUUUAUUAAAUAAUUAAUAUAUCUGAUAUAUAAUAAUGAUCAGAUACAUUAUUUAUUCAAUGAAUUAAUUUUUUUUUACUUUCUUAUAAUAGUGAUCAAUGAUAUAAUCAUUACUAUAUUCAAAAGUGAGAUUAAUAAUUAUUUUAAAAUAAAUUUUAUUUACUAAAAUAAUUAUUACAGAAAAUAAUUUAAAAUACAUUAUUUUAUAGGUUAACUUUACCGUUUACUUUGAUCUCUUAAUUUAAAAUAAGAAAUUAUAUUGAUUUCUUAAAUUUAAAAUAUACAAAUUAAUUAUUUUUGUCCAAGUAACAAUGACUUUUUUUAUAUUAAUCAUAAAAUUUAUUAUUAAUUAAAUAAAAAAGAUAAACAUAAAAUAUUUUAAAAAUUUAAGAGAUCACAUUUUUUUUAGUUAGAAGACUAAAAAUAACCUACAAGAUUAACGUAGAGAUCUACAAAAUAUUAAAGCUUUUUAAAAUAAAUAUUCUGUUUAAAAAGAGAUUAAUUACUAUAUACUGUCAGUUUAAAAAGUUUUACAUAAUCGAUUCAUCACCAUCACCCGAGGGGUCUAGGUUAGUUAAGGGUAUAUUAUAUGUUGUAAUAAUUUUCACAUAGUGUUAUUCUCUGGUUGUCUAUUAACAAUAGUCCUGGGUUUUUCUCCGAUUUUGGAGUUUCCACGUUACGUUCUUGUGUUGUGAUUAUGUUUCUUUUUUCUCUAUGCUUUGUUUUUUCCCCAACAACUGGUAUUAGAGCCCGGUUCGAUCCGGAGAUACGUGUUCUUAGUAUGCUUUAUGGUUGCAGUUUUGUCUGAUCUUCCACAUAAGAAAAGAAUCAUACCAUAGUCAAAACAUCCAAGGAACAUAUAACACCAACAUUUCCUCAUACCAUAGCCAAAACACUCAAACAUCAUACCAUAGCCAAAACACCCAAACACCGCACCAUAGCCAAAACACCUAAACAUCACAACAACCAUAUGACUAUCAAACACCACAAUAACCAUUUCAACAUUUCUCUAACGAACCAUUCACACCAAUGCUCCCUCCAAUCGUCCAGGUCGCACACCAAUGACCUCAUGAACACAUCCAGACUACUCUGACAUAGGUCGCAAACUAAGUUACGAUAGUGUGUCGCUUCAUACACAAGACUUCUUAGAAAUUCAAGAACUUCUUAGGGAUUCUGGUGAUGUUCAUAAGACCUAAAAUCCUCAAACACAUAGAGUGAAUCAACAAUGAGUGCAACAAGUUACGAUAGCUAGGGGGUAUGGAACCGAUGACCGGUAUAACCAACCUGAUCGUCAUCGUUAGUUUCUGUAAAAGUAUUUUUAAUUAAAUAUUAAUUUUUAUUAUUUAUACUAAAAUAAUUCACAAUGUACACGGGUGUUAGGCCAAUUGACACCUCCAUUUAAAAUAUGUACAUUGACGCCAAUUGAAUUGUCAACACCAUGUAAUUCCAAUUGGCACAUCCAUUAUAAAAUAUGGAGUUGCCGCCAAUUCGUCUGCCAACAACACUUCGUCCCAAAAAUUCUUUGUUUGAAAGUGGGGUACUUUAAGAGUUUGUUUGAAACAUGUGUUACUUUGUGAAUUAAUUUUAAAAAUGGGUUAUUUGGGUAAAAAAUGGACUCUUCCGACCCAUAAUUGAGUGAUCAAUUUGCAAGAAAAAAAGUUUCAAAAUGAAUGAUUCAUUUCAAUAUGUAAUACAAAUUAUUAUUUUUUUCAAUUAUACUAUUUAAUUAUUAUUAUUUUCAUAAGUUUCAAUAGUUAAUAAUAGACACUUUAGUAAAACUAUUGUUUUCUCUCUUUUAUUUAUUUAAUUUUUUUAAUAUGUGUGAACUAAUUCGUUGAGUCAUUUAUCGUGAGACAGAGAGAAUUACAAAUAGUAUAAUAAAUUAAUGAUAAUUAUAAAAUUUUAAAUUAUAUUUUAAAUCAUAGUAUUUGAAUACAUCAAUUUGAUGAGACGUGUCAGAAGAAACAAUGCUAAAAGAAAAUACAACUCUUUUUAUCUGUUUUUCUAAUUGUUAUUAUUAAAGUUUAAUGUUAUUUUUUAGUUAUUUAUUGUGGUAACUUUUAUUUUAUUUUUACUACAUUAUUCUGUUUUAUAUGUUUUUAGGGAUUAAUUACUAUACAUUGUCCGUGUAAAAGGUUUUACACUGUCGAUUCAUCACCAUCACCCGUUUGUAUUACUCUAUAGGUUUUUAAAAUAAAAGUUAAGAUUAUUUUAAUAUCCAAUGUCUAUGAUUAACUGUAAAAUCCUUUUAAAUUGUCAGUGUAUAUCAAUUAAAUUAUUUUUUUAAAUUCAAAUUGAAGUUAUAUUUGAAAUAUUGAACUUUGUCAAUAUAAUUUUAAUUUAAUAAAAUACUAUAUCAAAUAUUAACUUGAGUGUAUAUUUCAAAUAUUACACCAUUAUAAACUUCAUUAUGUAUAAAUACCUUAUAUUAAUAUUACUUUAUAUUCUAAACACUAUAUUAAUAUUUAUAUGAUGAUAAUUAUAUUUUAAAUAUUUUUUUCUCAUGACUUUAUUCUACUGGAAGGGUCUCUUACUAGUAUAAUUGCAAUAAUAAACGAGUGCAUAACAAUUAAAUUGAUUUGAUACAAAUCUGUAAUUUAUUAAUGUAAAUUGGUUUAGACAUGGACGAAGAAUGUAAGUUAAAAUUUUCAUUUUACGAAACAAACCCUGAAGUUUAGGAGUCCACCCGAGUGAAAACUCUUGUCCCUUGAAAGAGAGUAAAAAUACAGAGAGAGAUGAAAAAUUGAGAAUAAUCCUAGGAAGAAAGACGAGAUAGAUUAACAAUUUCGUUUCGAGAAAAAAAUGGAAGAAGCAAAGGCAAUGCAGCAGCAGCAGUUGAUCCAAGAACAACAUCGACAACAACAACAACAACAACAUUUUCUGCUCUUACAGCAAUUGCAAAAGCAACAGCAAUCAUCCGCAAUUUCUCGCUUCCCUUCCAACAUUGACGCUCACUUGCGUCCCAUAAGACCCCUCAAUCUUCAACAAAACCCUAACCCUAACCCUAAUCCCAUUCUCAAUUUACACCACAACCCUAAUUCAAACCAUCUACCUCAGCAACAGCACCAAAAGAUUAUUCGACCCCCCGGGAAUCAAAUCGAGCUCCAGAUGGCUUACCAAGACGCCUGGCGGGUCUGCCAUCCGGAUUUCAAGCGACCCUUUUCUUCUCUAGAAGAUGCCUGCGACAGGUUCUUUCUCUCAUCUCUAUUCAGUGCCGUGAUUCGUGGAAAAUGCUAAACAACUUAGCAUGACCCAUCUUUCGCUAUAACUACCUUUUCAAAUUCCAACUAUAUUUUCUACUUUUUUUCAUACUUCCAUUUUCUAUAAAAUUUAUGCAAUGUGGUUAUGGCUCUUUUCUUCAAGUUAAAUGACAAGUCAAACUGUCAAUUGUAUUUCAUUAGUAUUAGUAUUAGGAGUAUAGACUAGUAUCAGGGCUACCUAUAGCAGCUGGUUGUCAGGUGUUUCACACCGGUCAUUGGGUCACUACAGCUUGUUCAAACUCAUCCUUUGCGUCGUCAAAUUCAUGCUUCUGAAUAGAUUUCCCUGUUGCGUUGCCCAACAAGUAAAAAUGUUUAUUCAGAAUUGUCAAGAGUCCCAUAUUGGAUGAGAUAAGGCCCAAAAGCAUUUUUAUAUAAGUCUGAGCUAUUCCUCAUCUUACAAGUUUUCGUUAGGUUGAAUUCUAAGAUUUUACUUUUCUCCAAACUGAUUUAUAUUUGGAAACUUUUACUUAAUGAUAUUGAAUUUUGUGCUAGCAAAAUGUAAGUAUGGGAUGUUAUUGCUAGUUUUUCUUACUGUAUGUUUGGUUCUGCGGUGAGUGGUUCUGCGGUGAGGAGAAUUGAUUCUAAGUGAAUUAAUUUUGUAGAAUUGAUUUUGAUUAAAAGUGAAUUGGAUGUAAAGUGAUUUAUGUUUGGAUACAUUUCUAUAAAACUGAGUUGAACAAUAAAUUUCAAUGUAAAAAUCACGUUUAAAGUCAAAAGCUACAAAUUGUAGUUUCAAGGAGAAUCAAUCAUGGAGGCCGAACAAUUCUACUUUAGAAAAACCAAACACCUCAGAAUCAUUAAAGAAUCAAUUUUGCACCUCUAGAAUUGCUUUUGCCUAUUCCAAAAGCCAAACCAAACAUACACUCAACCUUAUUGGGAUAAAAACUAUGUUGUCAAUCUCGGAUAGUGAAGCGGAGCAGAUGAUCUCAAAACUGGGAUAGCAGGGAGAUGGGUGGCCAUUAUUUAAUAAAUUUUGGAAUUAUUAUAAAUUAACACUAAUAAACACAUAACUUCUGAAAAAUGAAACACUUUACUCAAAUCAUGAAAUAGUAAGAAUUAAAAAUAAAAGUCACAGCUCUUAAUCAAAAGAUACUUGUAAAUAACAACCUAUGAAGCUCCGACACGCCAUUCACACGACGUGUCGCCGUGUCCGACACGUGUACGACACGUAUCAGACACGUUUUUGAAGUGUCCAACGAGAAAAAAAUAUUUAAUUGUUGUGGACACGGAUACGGCACCUUAUUUAAAAUAAAGGACAUGACCCAAUUCAGAAAAUUCCAGAAUUAAAAAAAAAAAAACUCAACUCAAUUUUUCAAAAUUUAAAAAAUAAAUAAGUUUUUUAGCUUUCAUAUUCCACUUUUUUACUAUAAAAACAACACAAUUAGAAUUUCUUAUUUUUUUAUAUUUCACUUUCACUGCUUUUGUCUCCACAAAAUUCUUUUAUCUUCUCCGGUUAUUUUCAUCUUUGCACACCAUUGCUUCGGUUUUCACAAGGAAUAUAUGAAUAUCAAUUAUCAUGUUUGAAAGUAUUGAAAGAAUUUUUUAUUGUUUUAUCUUAAAUAAAUAUAAAUUUUGCUUCUCAUUUUAAAUUCUUUACAAAUUUUGCCCAUAAAUUAUAUUAUUAUAUUAAUAUAUAAAAUAUAUAUAGCCGUGUCCGUGUCCUAUAAUUUGUACAUUAGUGGGGUCCCCGUGUCCGUGUCCGUGUCGUGUCCCGUGUCCGUUCCGGGCUUCAUAUUAACAACAAAGUUCAAGGAAACAUGCAGGUGAAGCCAAGCUUAAAUUAACUAAACAUCAAAACUCAAAUAAAAGUUCUCAUCAACAAAGCCAAUUAUCAGCAUCAUGACAUAACUUAGAUUUUUAAUCAAUAGUGUCUAAUGAAAGGACUUAUUUUAAAACUAAGAAACCAACGAAGAUUUGAUUCCCUAAUUACGACGAACUACAUACCGAUAUCCGCGUUAUUCAAUAUUUAAUCUAGAUCUCAUUUUAGUUUUACUUUUCCCCCUAAUCAUCAAAGUAUCAUCCGCCUUAGCUUUACGAAGUGACCUUAGAAAACGGUAUAUCGAUUCAUAAGUCCAUGUGGGAUCGAUAUCUUUUAUUACUACGCGAUUAGACUGUGCACUUGCCGUUAAUACCCCAAUAGACUCAUAAAGUCGCGAUUCAGUCCACCCGAGUGAAAACUCUUGUCCCUUGAAAGAGAGUAAAAAUACAGAGAGAGAUGAAAAAUUGAGAAUAAUCCUAGGAAGAAAGACGAGAUAGAUUAACAAUUUCGUUUCGAGAAAAAAAUGGAAGAAGCAAAGGCAAUGCAGCAGUAGCAGCAGUUGAUCCAAGAACAACAUCGACAACAACAACAACAACAUUUUCUGCUCUUACAGCAAUUGCAAAAGCAACAUCAAUCAUCCGCAAUUUCUCGCUUCUCUUCCAACAUUGACGCUCACUUGCGUCCCAUAAGACCCCUCAAUCUUCAACAAAACCCUAACCCUAACCCUAACCCUAAUCCCAUUCUCAAUUUACACCACAACCCUAAUUCAAACCAUCUACCUCAGCAACAGCACCAAAAGAUUAUUCGACCCCCCGGGAAUCAAAUCGAGCUCCAGAUGGCUUAACCAUCUACCUCAGCAACAGCACCAAAAGAUUAUUCGACCCCCCGGGAAUCAAAUCGAGCUCCAGAUGGCUUACCAAGACGCCUGGCGGGUCUGCCAUCCGGAUUUCAAGCGACCCUUUUCUUCUCUCGAAGAUGCCUGCGACAUGUUCUUUCUCUCAUCUCUAUUCAGUGUCGUGAUUCGUGGAAAAUGCUAAACAACUUAGCAUGACCCAUCUUUCGCUAUAACUACCUUUUCAAAUUCCAACUAUAUUUUCUACUUUUUUCAUACUUCCAUUUUCUAUAAAAUUUAUGCAAUGUGGUUAUGG
rnacentral:lncRNA from 1 species